AGAGUUUGAUCCUGGCUCAGAUUGAACGCUGGCGGAAUGCUUUACACAUGCAAGUCGAACGGUAGAGGGGGCAACCCCUUGAGAGUGGCGAACGGGUGAGUAAUAUAUCGGAACGUGCCCAGUCGUGGGGGAUAACGUAGCGAAAGUUACGCUAAUACCGCAUACGAUCUAAGGAUGAAAGCGGGGGAUCGCAAGACCUCGCGCGAUUGGAGCGGCCGAUAUCAGAUUAGGUAGUUGGUGGGGUAAAGGCUCACCAAGCCAACGAUCUGUAGCUGGUCUGAGAGGACGACCAGCCACACUGGAACUGAGACACGGUCCAGACUCCUACGGGAGGCAGCAGUGGGGAAUUUUGGACAAUGGACGCAAGUCUGAUCCAGCCAUUCCGCGUGCAGGAUGAAGGCCCUCGGGUUGUAAACUGCUUUUGUACGGAACGAAAAGGUUUCCAUUAAUACUGGGGGCUCAUGACGGUACCGUAAGAAUAAGCACCGGCUAACUACGUGCCAGCAGCCGCGGUAAUACGUAGGGUGCAAGCGUUAAUCGGAAUUACUGGGCGUAAAGCGUGCGCAGGCGGUUAUGUAAGACAGAGGUGAAAUCCCCGGGCUCAACCUGGGAACUGCCUUUGUGACUGCAUAGCUAGAGUACGGUAGAGGGGGAUGGAAUUCCGCGUGUAGCAGUGAAAUGCGUAGAUAUGCGGAGGAACACCGAUGGCGA
rnacentral:rRNA from 1 species